rnacentral:ncRNA from 2 species
CGUGGAGUCCCCUGAGGGGCUCCCCGAGGAACGUCCGGACUCCACAGGGCAGGGUGGUGGCUAACGGCCACCCGGGGUGACCCGCGGGACAGUGCCACAGAAAACAAACCGCCCAGCACUUCGGUGCCGGGUAAGGGUGAAACGGUGGUGUAAGAGACCACCAGUGCCCAGGGUGACCUGGGCAGCUAGGUAAACCCCACCCGGAGCAAGGUGAAAAGGAGCGCCGUAAAAAGUGCUCUGCGCGGACGUUUGAGGGCUGCCCGCCCGAGUCCGCGGGUAGACCGCACGAGGCCAGCGGCAACGUUGGCCCUAG